rnacentral:tRNA from 1 species
UGUUUUGUGGCUUAGUUGGUUAAAGCGCCGGACCAGCGAUACGGAGUCGUGGGUUCAAAUCCCACAAAACAA